rnacentral:tmRNA from 1 species
UGCGUUUUGGUAUUAAACGUGCUAUAUCAUACGUGUCGGCUUGACCGACUGCGACACCAGAGGCGCCGUGAAAUAGGUAUGUUGGACCCGGGGGCAGUACCCGGCACCUCCACCAAUUUUUCAAGGGCAGCUUUUUGAUGUUGCAAGUUUUGAGUGAUGUUUACAAAAAGGGUAAAUGAGCGAAAAACUUGCAAGUAUGAAAGUUCUUAUAACCUCUUUUACGGGGGUGAAAAAGGUUAGACAGUAUACAAUAAAGAUGGUAUGCCGUGUCCGGUGAGAUACCACCGUUAUCGGUUCAAAAUAAAUAAACGCAAAUGAUAAUUUUGCACCUGUUGCUAUCGCUGCUUAAUUUAAGGCAAAUGCAACAAAAUACAAUUCUUUGAAAUAAGGUAUUUUCAAAGUGGGGUUGGCCGCCCAGCAACAGAAAGGCCU